AAUUAACGUGUGACGUCGCGUUAACAGUUUUGAUCUGAUUUCUUCUUCUUCAUCAAUUGGCUUCUUCUUCUUCAUCGCAGACACUCCCAAAUAAUUCUUCACCUAACUUACAGAACAAAGAUAAGCUUGACCUUGGCGAUCUUGGGAGAACUAUCUCAGGCAACAAAAUGGAAGCUUCACAAGCUAAUAACUCUGAAGAAACUAAAGUCCGAGAUCGUGACGUCUAUGUAAUUUCAAAAGACAAGGCCGAGAAGCAACAAAUGAUUCUCCACAGACAACACUAUAGUUUAGAAGUUUAUGUAUGGUUUACAUUAUAGUUUACAAGUUUAGGUGAGAACAACACUAUAGUUUACAAGUUUAUGUAUAGUUUAAUAGUUAAUAACUAUUUUUAUAUAACCACAAGUUUUAUUACAGAA